CGACUCUCGGCAACGGAUAUCUCGGCUCUCGCAUCGAUGAAGAACGUAGCGAAAUGCGAUACUUGGUGUGAAUUGCAGAAUCCCGUGAACCAUCGAGUCUUUGAACGCAAGUUGCGCCCGAAGCCUUCGGGCCGAGGGCACGUCUGCCUGGGUGUCACG
rnacentral:rRNA from 13 species